rnacentral:rRNA from 1 species
UACGUAGGGUGCGAGCGUUAAUCGGAAUUACUGGGCGUAAAGCGUGCGCAGGCGGUUUUGUAAGCCAGAUGUGAAAUCCCCGGGCUUAACCUGGGAAUGGCAUUUGGGACUGCAAGGCUUGAGUUCGGGAGAGGUGAGUGGAACUGAUGGUGGAGCGGUGAAAUGCGUUGAUAUCAUCAGGAACACCGGAGGCGAAGGCGGCUCACUGGGUCUUUUCUGACGCUGAGGGACGAAAGCUAGGGGAGCGAACGGG